rnacentral:rRNA from 1 species
GAUAAACGCUGGCGGCAUGCUUUACACAUGCAAGUCGAACGAUCGUCGUGUUAAUUGAAGCUUCGGCUGAUUUUAAUGCAAUGGCGAUAGUGGCAAACGGGUGAGUAACGCGUAGAAAUUUUCUCUUAGUGGGGGAUAGCUAGUCGAAAGAUUAGGUAAUACCCCAUGUGAACGCAAGUUUAAAGGAUUUAUUCGCUAAGAGUGAAGUCUGCGUCCCAUCAGCUAGUUGGUAAGGUAAAAGCUUACCAAGGCUAAGACGGGUAGCUGGUCUGAGAGGAUGAUCAGCCACACUGGGACUGCGACACGGCCCAGACACCUACGGGUGGCAGCAGUGGGGAAUUUUCGGCAAUGGGCGAAAGCCUGACCGAGCAAUGCCGCGUGCAGGAUGACGGCCCUAUGGGUUGUAAACUGCUGUGGAGUAUAUCUAAAAAAAUGAAGAGUACUCUAGAAAGAGGUUGCUAACUCUG